rnacentral:misc_RNA from 1 species
GAAAUGCGAUAAGUAAUGUGAAUUGCAGAAUUCAGUGAAUCAUCGAAUCUUUGAACGCACAUUUCGCUCGCCAGUAUUCUGGCGAGCAUGCCUGUUCGAGCGUCAUUUCAACCAUCAAGCUCUGCUUGCGUUGGGGAUCCGCGGCUGCCCGCGGUCCCUCAAAAACAGUGGCGGGCUCGCUAGUCACACCGAGCGUAGUAACUCUACAUCGCUAUGGUCGUGCGGCGGGUUCUUGCCAUAAAACCCCCAAUUUCUACGGUUGACCUCGGAUCAGGUAGGAAUACCCUCUGAACUUAAGC